GUGUCUAUAAGUAUUAAGUACUUUAAGAGUAUACAGCGUAUUCAGAGACUAUCCCAUAUUUUAAUACUAUAUUGAAAAAUAACCUGAAAUAAGGUUAGAUAAACAUUACAAUACAGUUCUUUGUUAUGAUUAGACUAAAGGAAUAAAAUGUAUGCACUAUUUAACAUAAUUAAUUACCAAGUCUCUGUAUUCUGAAAAUUUUUUUUAUGAAAAUGAAUAGUUAAAUCAUCGAAAAGAAUAAAUGUGUUAUUUAAGGAAUAAGCAUAAAAAAAAGGUUUGAUAGUUUCCUAUUUUCGAACAAAUCUAUAAUUCUUAUUGUUGUUCAUUGUCCCAUAAGUACUCUGAGAAAAGUAGACAAGUGUAAUUAUUUACCUAUAGUAAAAUUAUAGUUAGAAUAGUUCAUUACUGAGUACUAACUAGUCAGUCUAAAUUUAAUCAUGCAAUGUAACUGGCAUGCAUGUUUAACAUAUACUAUUUGUGUACACACAAAUUUGUAAAACUAUAUAAUUAUUUACAUGGACAUUAGACAUAUUAACUGGUUACAAGGCAUUGACUUUUAAAAAUGUUUAUUAAUAAAACUAAUUAUGAGUAUGUCCUAAAUGUUAAAUCAACAUAUAACUAUUUGUUGUUUGUAAAAACAGUGUAUAUAAAAAUUAUUUUUUGAAAACUACACCUAACUUGAACACAUCAAACAAA